rnacentral:rRNA from 1 species
GAGUUUGAUCUUGGCUCAGAUUGAACGCUGGCGGCAUGCCUUACACAUGCAAGUCGAACGGCAGCACGGGAGCUUGCUCCUGGUGGCGAGUGGCGAACGGGUGAGUAAUGCAUCGGAACGUAUCCUGGAGUGGGGGAUAACGUAGCGAAAGUUACGCUAAUACCGCAUAUUCUGUGAGCAGGAAAGCGGGGGACCUUCGGGCCUCGCGCUCUUGGAGCGGCCGAUGUCGGAUUAGCUAGUUGGUGAGGUAAAGGCUCACCAAGGCGACGAUCCGUAGCAGGUCUGAGAGGAUGAUCUGCCACACUGGAACUGAGACACGGUCCAGACUCCUACGGGAGGCAGCAGUGGGGAAUUUUGGACAAUGGGGGCAACCCUGAUCCAGCCAUGCCGCGUGAGUGAGAAGGCC